rnacentral:rRNA from 1 species
AUGGAUAAAGUUGAAGUUGUGUUGUAUUCAAUGAACUCGAGAAACAAAGACAAACUCGUAGCCAAAGGGACUUUAGUGAGUAAAGAGAAAACAUAUGUGGUUGGAGGAAACAUGCUUGGAGUGCAAUACGUUGCAGUUCUUGUUCGCGGCUGUACAUAUCUAGGAGAUGAGAAACUAGUUAGACCAUAUGAAAAAUUCCAAACAGUAAGGGAUGCUAUGGGUUCUAUUAUUGCUUGGCCUCGCUCACAUGUAAGUAUGUUUUCAUUCAAGCAUUGUGUAUGCUCCAAUUUGCACAUGUGUGAUAUGUUAUUUAUCCAGAAUCUUUCUUGUUUUUAG